rnacentral:rRNA from 1 species
AUGCAAUCUACCUUUUACAGGGGAAUAGCCCAGAGAAAUUUGGAUUAAUGCCCCAUAGUAUAAUUGAAUGGCAUCAUUUAAUUAUUAAAGUCACAACGGUAAAAGAUGAGCAUGCGUCCCAUUAGUUAGUUGGUAAGGUAACGGCUUACCAAGACAAUGAUGGGUAGGGGUCCUGAGAGGGAGAUCCCCCACACUGGUACUGAGACACGGACCAGACUCCUACGGGAGGCAGCAGUGAGGAAUAUUGGACAAUGGGCGCAAGCCUGAUCCAGCCAUGCCGCGUGCAGGAAGACGGUCCUAUGGAUUGUGAACUGCUUUUAUACAGGAAGAAACACUCCGACGUGUCGGAGCUUGACGGUACUGUAGGAAUAAGGAUCGGCUAACUCCGUGCCAGCAGCCGCGGUAAUACGGAGGAUCCAAGCGUUAUCCGGAAUCAUUGGGUUUAAAGGGUCCGUAGGCGGUUUAAUAAGUCAGUGGUGAAAUCUGGUCGCUCAACGAUCAAACGGCCAUUGAUACUGUUAGACUUGAAUUAUAAGGAAGUAACUAGAAUAUGUAGUGUAGCGGUGAAAUGCUUAGAUAUUACAUGGAAUACCAAUUGCGAAGGCAGGUUACUACUUAUGGAUUGACGCUGAUGGACGAAAGCGUGGGGAGCGAACAGGAUUAGAUACCCUGGUAGUCCACGCCGUAAACGAUGGAUACUAGCUGUUGGAAGCAAUUUCAGUGGCUAAGCGAAAGUGAUAAGUAUCCCACCUGGGGAGUACGUUCGCAAGAAUGAAACUCA